AAUGAACGCUGGCGGCAUGCCUAAUACAUGCAAGUCGAGCGAACGGACGGGAAGCUGUCGUCUCUGAUUUUGUCGGCGGACGGAUGAGGAACACGUGUAUGGCCUACCUAUAAGACUGGGGUAAUUUCGGGGGACCAGAUCUAAUACCCAAUGAUAUUUUGAACCGCAUUGUGCAAAAGUUAGAUUCGGUCUUUCGUUGACUUAUAGAUGGAUCCGCGCUGCAUUAGUUAGUUGGUAAGGUAACGGCUUACCAAGGCAACGAUGCAUAGCCGACCUGAGAGGGUGAUCGGACACCCGGGCGGUGAGACACGGCACAGACUCCUACGGGAGGCCGCAGCAGGGAAUCUUACGCAAUGGGCGAAAGCCUGACAGAGCAAAGCCGCGUGAGUGAUGAAGGUCUUAGGCUCGUAAAACUCUGUUAUUCGGGAAGAACAUAUGUGUAAGUACCUGUGAACAUAUUGACGGUACCUAAACAGAAAGCCACGGCUAACUACGUG
rnacentral:rRNA from 1 species